GAGAGAUUCUAGGGAACAAGGAAGCUCGCUAUGGCUUUCUUGCCAGGAGGGGUCGAAGGGAAAGUACAAGGGAGCUGGAGCUGACCCUGGGUAGAACGGGUGAAGGGAUGGGGGAGCGUGAGGUUCCGCCCUCUCUUGAGACUGGAACCAAUUGAGGGACUAGUAGGGCAGGGGGACAGAAAUUGGGCUCCUAGUGGAUUUGGGUCCGUUUCCGUUGGGACGUUUUGGGUGUGAGAACUUAAGAGCUCAGUUGACCGGGGAUAGCCUGUGCCGGAGUUGAUCUGCAGCUUCCAGCACUCGUAGUCGGGAAGAGGAGCUUCAGCAGCGCUGUUGUCCCACAGAUCCUUGGCGUGGAGUCUUCCUCCCUUCUCCCAAGUCUUUCUCCGUGAACUUUUCCUCCUGGACUUUGCUAAAGCAGAACCUCCCAGCUCUUUGCUGUCUCCGGUUGUCUCUUCCCUGUAUUCAUGGCAACAUCAGCUGACAGCCCCAGUUCACCCCUCGGGGCGGAGGAUCUCCUGAGUGAUUCAUCAGAACCCCCUGGGCUCAACCAAGUGUCGUCUGAAGUGACCUCCCAGCUCUAUGCUUCUUUGCGCCUCAGCCGGCAGGCGGAGGCCACGGCCCGAGCCCAGCUGUAUUUACCCUCCACCUCCCCGCCUCAUGAAGGGUUAGACGGCUUCGCCCAAGAAUUGAGUCGA
rnacentral:lncRNA from 1 species